GGCAAGCCACAUCCAAAGCAAAACUAAAGCGAUCACUAUACAAAUCCAAGUUGCAGUCCAGUCGGACUCCGGGCUGCAAUCGGAACUAUGUGUCAGCGGAAGCAUCCUACAAAAGGGCCAACACCGCAGACAGCGUUGGGUGCAGACGCAACCUCCUACUCGAAGUCCUCGGCGACGUAGUCCGGAUCCUCCUCUGAAGCAGCAAAACAGGGGUGAGUACAAAAGUACUCAACAAGUCCAACCCCAUCCACGGAGGGGAAUACAACAAGAAUAUGCAUAGGAUUCAACAAGGAUAGGGUUAAGGUUCAUUUGCAAAUAAGCUAUAUUUUUGACUCAUGCAAGGGUUCAUUUUUAAAGAGUUUUCACAAGUAUUUUAUUUAGUAACCGAAACAUUAAGUGGGGUUGAUCCU
rnacentral:lncRNA from 1 species